UACGUAGGUGACCAGCGUUGUCCGGAUUUACUGGGCGUAAAGCGCGCGCAGGCGGUCGUUCAAGUCGAGUGUGAAAGCCCCCGGCUCAACUGGGGAGGGGCACUCGAUACUGAUCGACUUGAAGGCAGGAGAGGGAAGCGGAAUUCCCGGUGUAGUGGUGAAAUGCGUAGAUAUCGGGAGGAACACCAGUGGCGAAGGCGGCUUCCUGGCCUGUUCUUGACGCUGAGGCGCGAAAGCUAGGGGAGCAAACGGG
rnacentral:rRNA from 1 species